rnacentral:lncRNA from 1 species
UCACCGUCAUCCUAAACCCAACCAAAGCUCUCUCGCUUUGAAUGACUGGAAUGUUGACGUGAUACAAGUGAGCGGUUGAAGUAUCUGAAGUAGAACGCAGAGUGAUGACUAGCAGUGAAGAGUCUGAGUGGAGUUGUGCCAGGAUAUGCUUUCUCACGGAAUGUCUCCUGUCUCCUUCUCAUUGAGGUUUCAGGACCUUGUAACUGUCCUCAGAACUGCAGCACUGCUGCUUACUAUGGAAUGGCCCUAAAAAUCAACAACCCCUCUAUCACACCGUCAAACAUCACGUCAAUGGUCAACCAACUCAAUCACUUCUCCUGCGAUGCAUCUAACUCCAACUCCACCUGUCUGGCCUUGUUUAAGGUUUCAAAAGUCUAUGAGGUAAUUUCAGCGCUCACUGUUUUCAUUAAUGGCAUUAGUCUGAGGAAAUAUUUCUCUAUUUUUUACAAACCUAAAAUGAAUCUAACACUUUUCCACAGAAAAACUUGUUGUUGAGGAGCACUGAACCUGG